AACGUGUUCCGGGGUCGGUGCAAUUCCGAACCGGCGGUGACAGUCCGCGAACCGUGAACGCCGUGCACGCGGGACCCCCUCCGUCCAGGAGGCAGUGGUCCGGCUGGUGCGGGGUGAACGGCCGAACCGGUGGAAUUCCGGUGCCGACAGUACAGUCUGGAUGGUAGGUACACGUG
rnacentral:ncRNA from 2 species